rnacentral:rRNA from 1 species
GUUAAGCGAAUAAGCGUACACGGUGGAUGCCUAGGCAGUCAGAGGCGAUGAAGGACGUGCUAAUCUGCGAUAAGCGCCGGUAAGGUGAUAUGAACCGUUAUAACCGGCGAUUUCCGAAUGGGGAAACCCAGUGUGAUUCGUCACACUAUCAUUACCUGAAUACAUAGGGUAAUGAAGCGAACCGGGAGAACUGAAACAUCUAAGUACCCCGAGGAAAAGAAAUCAAACGAGAUUCCCCCAGUAGCGGCGAGCGAACGGGGAGCAGCCCAGGACCUUAAUCAGCAUCAGUGUUAAGAGAACAGUCUGGAAAGGCUGGCCACAGCAGGUGAUAGCCCUGUAUCUGAAAGCACUGGUGUUGUGAGUCCGAUGAGUAAGGCGGGACACGUGUUAUCCUGUCUGAAUACGGGGGGACCAUCCUCCAAGGCUAAAUACUCCUGACUGACCGAUAGUGAACCAGUACCGUGAGGGAAAGGCGAAAAGAACCCCGGCGAGGGGAGUGAAAAAGAACCUGAAACCGUGUAC